rnacentral:rRNA from 1 species
CUGAUCGCAUGGUCUUGUACCGGCGACGUCUCAUUCAAGUGUCUGACCUAUCAACUUUCGAUAUAAGUAUAUAGUACUUAUAUGGUUUUGACGGGUAACGGAGAAUUAGGGUUCGACUCCGGAGAAAAUGCCUGAGAAACGGCGUUUACAUCCAAGGAAGGCAGCAGGCGCGAAAAUUACCCACUCUCAGUACAAGGAGGUAGUGACGAGAAAUGACAAGAUCUAGUCCUUCGGGGCUGGAUCAUUGGAAUGGUUUGAUUUUAAAACCAUUAAAGAGUAUCAAUGAGAGGGCAAGUCUGGUGCCAGCAGCCGCGGUAAUUCCAGCUCUCAUACUGCAUUGAAUUGUUGUUGCGGUUAAAAAGCUCGUAGUUGGAUCUCUACACGAUAGGAUGGUUCACUCAUUGAGUUGUAACUAUUACUAAGUGUUUGUUUUAUAGUUUUUCUUUAGUCGUA